rnacentral:rRNA from 1 species
GAAACCGCCCAGAGGUAAACGGGUGGAUCCGCAAAGUCGGCCCGCGGAAUUCAGCGUGUGCGGUGGGUUGGGCCUGCCUGGGUCUUGGGAUCUUCGGACCCUGCCUGGGCGGGACUGGCCUCCGCCGCGUGCACUUUCCGCGGGCAGAGCGCUACGACCGGUUUCGCGGCGGCGACAAGCCCAAUCGGAUGCGUGGCACGAUCUCACGGUCGUGCUUCGGCCGGUCGAGGUGAGCCGCUGUCGGGACCGAGGGACGGCCGCACGCUUCGAGGCUGCCCGGCCUCGCGGGGGAGUUCGACUGGCAGGGACUGGGCAACCGUGCCUGCCGACCGCUCCUCUGUGUCGGAUCGGGACAGCCGGGCGUGUCAGGGGGUCAGUGGCGAGUCUGUCGGCAUUCCACCCGACC